AUCCAGCAUGGCGCCCAACACAGGGCUUGAACUCUCGAUCCUGAGAUCAAGAUCUGAGGAAUAAGAAAAUCAGCUUAAACAGCAAAGAGAAGACUGGACCUGGGAGAUGGAUCAGUAGGAAAUAUGAAAAUGAAGCAAUUAGAGAAAAAAGGAUGGAAAAUGCAGAAAAGAGCGUAAGAAUCAUCUGACACAAAAGGUCUUAGGAGAAGAAAGAGAAUGGGGCAGAGGUAGUGUUUAAAGAGACAGUGUCCAAGAGUUUCCCCAAAACUAGUGAAAAACAUCAAGUGGGGGGAAACAAUAACAAUUUUUUUAAAAAAUUUAGAAUAAAUUUUAAAAAGAUGAGAAAUUUAUACCCAUAAAGACCCGUAAUCACAUCAAAUGUAAAAUGGUCUCAAUGUUGUAAUCAAAAGACAAAAAACGUCAGUCUGGUUAAAAAACAAAUCCCAAAUAUGUGCUGCUUCCACAAAACAAACCUUAAGUAAUAAGGACACAGAAAGGUUGAGGUCAGCUAGAGAAGCAAACUCCCUGCUGAGCAGGGAGCCCGAUGUGGGACUUGAUCCUGGGACUCCACAAUCAUGCCCUGAGAUGGAGGCAGUCACUUAACCAACUGAGCCACCCAGGCGCCCAGGACACAGAAAGGUUGAAAAUAGAAAGAUGGAAAACAUAAACUGUAUGAAGAUUAACCAAAAGAAAGCCAAGGUAGCUGAACUACUAACAGAAAAAAAAAAGGGGGGGGGGGCGUUAGGGCAACUAGUACUACUUGAGAGAAAAAAGGAACAUUUUUUAUGAUGACAAAAGGAUAAAUCUAAGAGGAAGAUACAAUAAUCCUAACCUGUAUGCACCUAAUAAAUUAGUGCCUAAAAACAUAAAGCAAAAACUCAGGAACGGGAAAUCUACAAUCAACAAUAGGAAAAAGCAGAACCUUCCCUCCACCACCACCCAACAUUAGGAGAUAGACAAGAUUUGACCAACAUGAUUAACUAACGUGACCUGACAAUGUAACACUGUACUCAACAUGUGAUAAAUACACAUUUUUCUCAAGUACACACAGAACUUUAACCAAAAGAGACCAUGUAAGUGGGUAUAAAGCAACGGUAGACAAAUUUCAAAGGACUGAAAUCAUACAGUGUAUGUUCUCUGACCAUAGAAAGAAAAAGAGUAUGUUGAUUAUGCUAUAUUUUGAGAAG